rnacentral:other from 20 species
GUUGUGAUUUACUUUCAUUUUAGUAUAUUUGAACCAUUAGAAACAAC